UCAUCUCCACCUCACAAAAUCGACUUAUAACAUUAAAGAUAUCUUCUUUACAAACCAUAGUCAACUCUUACUCUUAUCUUUAAUAUAUGUUAGUUGAUUUCUGCAAUCAACCAUAUUUUCUCAUGAUUUGAUUGAACAUGGCCGGAGUAUUAUUGUUAUGGUUAUGGAGUUGUUUUAUUUUAUUAUUCUUUUGGUUAUUGAGUUUAUGAGUUCUAGAAAUUGUAAGAAUCUCCCUUUGAAAAGUCAAGACACUGUGGCGACACGGAGAUUGUCUUUAAGUUAAGGGCCAGUUUUCAGUUGACUUAGAUUGGCCGGUCGAUCUGAUUCUGAAUUUUGAAGGCCAAGUCUUUGCCGUUUUUUCUAACCUUCCAGAGUAUUUUCAUCAUCGUGUAAUGUAAUCUA
rnacentral:lncRNA from 1 species